rnacentral:rRNA from 1 species
AUACGGAGGGUCCAAGCGUUAUCCGGAAUCAUUGGGUUUAAAGGGUCCGCAGGCGGUCAAUUAAGUCAGAGGUGAAAACCCAUCGCUCAACGAUGGAACUGCCUUUGAUACUGGUUGACUUGAGUUAUACGGAAGUAGAUAGAAUAAGUAGUGUAGCGGUGAAAUGCAUAGAUAUUACUUAGAAUACCGAUUGCGAAGGCAGUCUACUACGUAUAUACUGACGCUGAGGGACGAAAGCGUGGGGAGCGAACAGGAUUAGAAACCCUAGUAGUCC